UUCUGGCUCAGGAUGAACGCUAGCGGCAGGCUUAACACAUGCAAGUCGAGGGGCAGCGGGAUGUAGCAAUACAUUGCCGGCGACCGGCGGAUGGGUGCGUAACGCGUAUGCAACCUACCUUAUACAGGGGAAUAACCUUUCGAAAGGGAGACUAACACCCCAUGGUAUUGAUUUAAGGCAUCUUAGAUUAAUUAAAUAUUUAUAGGUAUAAGAUGGGCAUGCGUAUGAUUAGCUAGUUGGUAAGGUAACGGCUUACCAAGGCGACGAUCAUUAGGGGUUCUGAGAGGAAGGUCCCCCACACUGGUACUGAGACACGGACCAGACUCCUACGGGAGGCAGCAGUGAGGAAUAUUGGUCAAUGGGCGCAAGCCUGAACCAGCCAUGCCGCGUGCAAGGAAGACGGCCUUAUGGGUUGUAAACUGCUUUUACAUAAGACUAACCGUAUAUUUGCGAAUAUACCUGAAUGUAUUAUGAGAAUAAGGAUCGGCUAACUCCGUGCCAGCCGCCGC
rnacentral:rRNA from 1 species